rnacentral:lncRNA from 1 species
GGGGUGUCGAGCUCCGUGGAGCCUGAGAGCAUACUCAGUCAUUUUAAAAGCUUGUUAUUUUUGAGGCCCCAAGCUCAAGAAAUGAAUUCAGAAAGAAAAUGAAAAAAAUAUCAAGACAGAUAGCAGGAGUGCCUCCUCCACUAACAAAGGCCCUCAGCUGAAACCAAUUUGGACAGCUCAGCCCCGUCUCGGCUCAUGAACUCCGGUUUACCUCAGAGAAGCCCUGCAGUGCACACUUGCGUGCAUACACGCACACACGGCAGACCGGGUUGAGAGCUGUUCGGCCUGAAAGAAGCAAAGGAAACUUGCUCCUUUUAUUUAGGAAUGAAGAAUUUGAAAUCCUGAAAUAUCUGAAGUGCCCCAACCCAGAACUCCUCACCAGAAGGUGCCUGCCUGAAUCUGAAUCUCCUGAGAAGAAAAUGGCUUGCCAGCUCCUGGGGAAGAUUCGGAGUCUUCCUUUCAGCUAGCCUCUAUCAUCAGAGGAAGCAAAGAAGAAAAUUGUCAAGUCUAUGAUGACUGCUCUUUGAAGGGCAGCCCUUCCUGGUGUGAACCCGCAGCAUGUUAAAUCACUGGAGCUGCAGAGGACAACUCUGAGUAGGGGCAGGGAGCCUGCAGGCCCACAUCUGUGGAUCUCAAACGGAGGCAGGAUUGCCUGUCUACACACAUGCACGCGUGCACAUAUGCACCCACUCCAAACCCUAACAAGUGAUUCAUAUUUCAAAACACUGUUUUGUGGAAAAAAAAAAAAAACUUCCUUA